GUAAGAGUUCAAAGAACAUGUUCAAAUCAGAAAGGAGUUUCUUGAAUUAAUGCUCAAGUAUCAACGAGUCAUUUCUGAAAGAGAUUCUGCUAUUACUGUCCGUGACAAGCUUGAGUGACUUUGUAGAGAGUUACAACGUCAAAACAAAAUGUUGAUGGAAGAAUGCAAGCGGGUGUCGACUGAGGAACAGACUUUAAGAUCAGAUUUGUCGACCAAGUUCCAGGAAGCAAUUAACGUAGUUGAACUGUCACACAAGCAACCGUGAAAAGACAAAACACAUGAUAAAAUAACGAUCCACGUAUGUGAUAGAUUGAUUAUAUAGUUUGCAUACUUCAAUAAAAUAUAAACCGUGUUUUGACAGAACAUCUAAGACAAUAAUUACGAUACAAUAUGAAGAAAAUUUUCAGACCUCACAAACUCAUUGCAAAUGCUCAGGUGCGUAAAACGCUCUCUGCAUGUGCUCUCUCUCUUUCUCAUUCUCAAUUGUAUAUAUACACACCAACCACAUAGUUUCAUGUCUCUCGCUUUUUAUUUAUACUAUAUGCAUUGAAGACAUAUCAAUGGGGGAACUGCCUGGGACAC